CAGCCGCCGCGGUAAUACCGGCGGCCCGAGUGGCGGUCACUAUUAUUGGGCUUAAAGCGUCCGUAGCCGGGUUGGGAAGUCCUCCGGGAAAUCUGGCCGCUUAACGGUCAGAAUGCCGGAGGAUACUCCCAGCCUAGGGAGCGGGAGAGGCCGGGGGUAUUCCCGGAGUAGGGGGGAAAUCCUAUAAUCCCGGGAGGACCACCUGUGGCGAAGGCGCUCGGCUGGGACGCGUCCGACGGUGAGGGACGAAGGCCAGGGGAGCAAACCGGAUUAGAUACCCGGGUAGUCCUGGCUGUAAACGAUGCGGACUUUGUGUCGGACAAGCUAUGAGCUUGUCCGGUGCCGGAGGGAAACCGUUAAGUCCGCCGCCUGGGGAGUACGGCCGCAAGGCUGAAACUUAAAGGAAUUGGCGGG
rnacentral:rRNA from 1 species